rnacentral:rRNA from 1 species
UACAGAGGUCCCAAGCGUUGUUCGGAUUCACUGGGCGGAAAGGGGGCGUAGGCGGUCGGGUAAGUCUGAUGUGAAAUCUCACAGCUUAACUGUGAAACUGCAUUGGAUACUAUCCGGCUAGAGGAAUGGAGGGGAGACUGGAAUACUUGGUGUAGCAGUGAAAUGCGUAGAUAUCAAGUGGAACACCAGUGGCGAAGGCGAGUCUCUGGACAUUUCCUGACGCUGAGGCACGAAAGCCAGGGGAGCAAACGGG